AUUUUGCUGAUGAGUCCCAUAUUGAACGAAACGGAUGUCCUGGAU
rnacentral:hammerhead_ribozyme from 1 species